rnacentral:rRNA from 1 species
UUUAACAAAAACAUGUCUUUUUGUAUUAUAUAUAAAGUCUAACCUGCCCACUGAAAUUUUAAAUGGCCGCAGUAUACUAACUGUGCAAAGGUAGCAUAAUCAUUAGUCUUUUAAUUGAAGGCUGGUAUGAAUGGUUGGACGAGAUAUUAACUGUUUCAUUUGAAUUUAUAUUAGAAUUUUAUUUUUUAGUCAAAAAGCUAAAAUUUAUUUAAAAGACGAGAAGACCCUAUAAAUCUUUAUAUUUUAUUUAUAUUAAUUAAUUAGAUAAAUUUUAUUAUUAUAAAUUAAAAUAUUUUAUUGGGGUGAUAUUAAAAUUUAAAAAACUUUUAAUUUGUAAAAACAUUAAUUUAUGAAUAAUUGAUCCAUUAAUAAUGAUUAAAAAUUUAAGUUACUUUAGGGAUAACAGCGUAAUUUUUUUGGAGAGUUCAUAUCGAUAAAAAAGAUUGCGACCUCGAUGUUGGAUUAAGAUAUAAUUUUAGGCGCAGCCGUUUAAAUUUUAAGUCUGUUCGACUUUUAAUUUCUUACAUGAUCUGAG